AAAAAGAAAAAGGGGAUUGUCUUCUUUCUUCCUCCACCAUUGCCGUAGCUCACCCAUUGAAAAAAACCAAAGCUUUGUUUUGUCUUCCUUCCACCAAAGCCAAGCCAAACUCCACCAAAGCCAAGCUAAACCUCACCAAAACAACUUCUUCCUUUAACCAAAAUCUAUCCUAAGAUCAAGAGCUAAAGGAACAGCCAUAUAGUGAAAGAAUUGAAGAAGAAAGGUUUAGGGUUCCAUAUACACCAAGCUUGAAAAUCCAAGGUAAGCUUAGAAAGGUGAAGGAAAUAACAUCUUCUCAUUUCUUCAUGCAUGNNN
rnacentral:lncRNA from 1 species